UACGUAGGGUGCGAGCGUUGUCCGGAAUUACUGGGCGUAAAGAGCUCGUAGGUGGUUUGUCGCGUUGUUCGUGAAAACUCACAGCUUAACUGUGGGCGUGCGGGCGAUACGGGCAGACUGGAGUACUGCAGGGGAGACUGGAAUUCCUGGUGUAGCGGUGGAAUGCGCAGAUAUCAGGAGGAACACCGGUGGCGAAGGCGGGUCUCUGGGCCGAUACUGACGCUGGAGGAGCGAAAGGCGUGGGGAGCGAACAGGAUUAGA
rnacentral:rRNA from 1 species